GUGCCAGCCGCCGCGGUAAUACGGAGGGGGCAAGCGUUACUCGGAAUUAUUGGGCGUAAAGGGCGCGUAGGCGGUCGUGCGCGUCGGAGGUGAAAUCCCCGGGCUCAACCCGGGAGCUGCCUCCGAUACGGCACGGCUUGAGUCCGGGAGAGGGGAGCGGAAUUCCCAGUGUAGCGGUGAAAUGCGUAGAUAUUGGGAGGAACACCGGUGGCGAAGGCGGCUCCCUGGACCGGUACUGACGCUGAGGCGCGAAAGCGUGGGGAGCAAACAGGAUUAGAAACCCUCGUAGUCC
rnacentral:rRNA from 1 species